rnacentral:rRNA from 1 species
UACAAAGGGUGCAAGCGUUACUCGGAAUUACUGGGCGUAAAGCGUGCGUAGGUGGUGAGUUAAGUCUGUCGUGAAAGCCCCGGGCUCAACCUGGGAAUGGCGAUGGAUACUGGCUCGCUAGAGUGCGGUAGAGGAGAGUGGAAUUCCCGGUGUAGCAGUGAAAUGCGUAGAGAAUCGGGAGGAACAUCAGUUGCGAAGGCGGCUCUCUGGACCAGCACUGACACUGAGGCACGAAAGCGUGGGGAGCAAACAGG